UUUCCAGCUUCCUUAAGGAUCUCUG
rnacentral:miRNA from 1 species